ensembl:lncRNA RNA-binding Raly-like protein
GUUCAAGGUUGUGUUUAUUCAUCCGUACAAUCAUGGAAAUGUCAGCGCUUACAUCCACACCAGCAUCCACGGUUGAGCGCAGACGAGAAAUAACAUCAGCGUUACAGUUUCUAACAUUUCAGCAGCGUCUGUGAUCAUCAGGGUGUGAAGAAAUGACCCUGAAACUGUAACGUGUUGUUUUACUGCUGGAGUCAGUGGAACUGGAAACUGACGAGGGACUCUUCUUGACUGAAUGUAAUGUUUUAGGUUUCUGUGAGUCGUGUCAAAUUGUAUUACUGCGAGAGAAGAGAGCUGAGUUUACGCUACAUUUGGAGAAUGCCAGCUGAAGCUGCCAGAUCAAAGGCGAUAUGGCGCUCGCUCCGUGAGCCAUAAUACACUGAACCCUGAAGACGCCGGGAUGAAUGGCGAGCUGAGAACCGGUCGCACCACAACAGCCAAGAGAGGAAGCAGCGCCCCCGACAGAUCUGACUGUGAGAUGGAGUAUGACAGAUACCCUGAUGACCACUACAACAGGGUGUUUGACUACCAGCGUGUCCCCUCCUCGGUCCCGGUGGAUCCCAGUCCUGUGAAACGGCCCCGCCCUUCAUCUUCAUCCUCCUCCUCCUCCUCCACAGCAGCUCUGAGGGUGAAGAGCAGCAGAGCUUCCAGCAGGAGCAACAACAACACACACUCCUCCUCCUCUGACAGCAAAUUGAAGAUGGCGGAGCUUCUUGCCAUAAAGAGGGAGCUGACGGUGAUCAAGGUCCAGAUCGACGGCCUGUUGGACUGUGUGGACAAGAUGGACCAGCAGAGGAAGGACUGCUCAGAGUGUCCUCAGGGCAGGGAGCCCACUGUAUCAGACUCUCCUCAUCGAGGUUCAGUCAGCAGUCUGGAGAGAGAAAGUCCUGAACCAGGAGAAGCCAGCGAGGACGAGCCGCUGCACUACUACCCCCACAGCUACCCCCACAGGAUAAAGCAGCUUCAGUCUGAUCUGGAGGACGAUCUGUGAUACUGCAGCUCAGAGCCUUCCAUAAACAGAAGCUGGGUUUGGUAACAGUUGGGAUGGAAGAUGCUCCAAGGAGGCGUUGGCAACAUGAAUUGCAUUGGACUGACUCUCCUCCACCACAAAUCUGUCGCUUAUCUGUUUGUCACUGUCAGUUUGAUUUUUAUUCUGCUGUACCAUCUCCAGUUCUGCUUUACAGUCCACAAUGACGACAAAAGCCCCAAAGUAUCCCUGGUACAUCACUGUCUCUGGUGCCCAAGCUAACAUAUCACGUGGGACAAUAUAGCUGAGUGAUGUUAUACAACUGUAGUGUAAAAUAGUGCACCUACCAAAAAAAAGCAUAUAAUUCAUGAGCUAUGGCAGAUUUUUUGUUAUUUUUAGUUCUUUUAUUUGAGCUCUUAUUACCUUGCUCCACUGUUGGACUACUCUCUGAUUAAUAUUAAUACAAUCAGUGUGGCAGCAGCUGGCAGCUCCUUAUCACACAGUUUAUUUUCAUCAUGUGUAUUAUAAUAAUUAUGUGUAAACAGAUGUGUACAGGCACUGUGGUUCUGUAUUAAAGGUUCAGUGAGCACAGUUUUAUGACUCUGGGCGAAUUACAUUUGGAAAAUCAGUGUUAAGUGAUAAACAGAGUGACAAUUUCCUGAAAUGAAGAUGAACUCUUAUUAAAAAACUACAUGUAGCGCAUAUAAAUGGAAAGAUAGGAGGAUGGAGUAAAGCUGUCAGUAGCCAUUGCUUCAGGUUAGAAAUCGAGUAAAACUGUUUACUUUAGCUGUGAAAUGAACAGUUUGGUUGAGGUCAGAUGCUAAAACAGUUUGGUACAGGGUUUAUUGAUUUAGUUCAACAACAACUUGACAGGCAAAAAAGUUUGAUUAACUGAUCAGUUUAGCAGAGGAAUCGUUUGGUUCAGUUUAAGGUUAAGGUUAGCUAACAGGUCAGUUUAGCAGAGAAAAUGGUUUUAUUAAGGUUAGCUAAUGGGUCAGAUUAGUGGAGAAAACAUUUGAUUUAGGUUAGCUAACCGGUCAGUUUAAAAAAAAAGAAAUGUGUUUCGUUAAGGUUAGUUUUUGGUCCAGUUCAGCAACUAAAACAGUUCGUAGGCUACUACAUAUACAUGUAAGCUAACGGAACCGUCUACCAGCAAUGGUUGGUUAGCUAACAGUUCAGUGGCUAAAACAGUUCGUAGCCUACUUCAUACACAUUACAUGUAGGCCUAGGCUAAGCUAACGGAACAGUCUACUAGCAACGGUUGGUUAGCUAACAGUUCAGUGGAUAAAACAGUACAUAGGCCUACUACAUGUAAGCUAACGGAACCGUCUACCAGCAAUGGUUGGUUAGCUAACAGUUCAGUGGCUAAAACAGUUCGUAGCCUACUUCAUACACAUUACAUGUAGGCCUAGGCUAAGCUAACGGAACCGUCUACCAGCAACGGUUGGUUAGCUAACAGAUCAGUUUAACAGGAUCAGUCUGGCAGGUAAAACAUGUUUUUGUUCAGUUUAGCAGCUAAAACAACUUGAUCAAGGUUAACAUUUCAGUCAUCGUUAAAUCAAAGAACUCCCAGAAGAGGUUGAGAGAGGACAUUAGAGGUAAGUUUUCCUAGGUCAUUAAGCCAUGUCUUGAUAACAAUACCCAAAUCUGUGGUACCUUCAUGGCAUGAAAACCAUCUGUUUACUGUGUAGCUUUCCUGAGUCUAACUACGGCAUUGUUUUUGGGUUUGCAUUAACUGGAAUGUUGGACUAUACUAUUUGUUUGGUUUUGUUUUGCACAUUUGGCUAUAGAAACCAUAGUGUUUGAUUUUCCUAUAAAUCCAUUGAACUUGUGUUAUCUUGACAACUAUAGGUGAAAUUGACACGACAUUUGUUAUGAAUAUUCAUGUUCCCCAGAGGAUGCAAGUGAAUGUUGUUGAUGUCCGACACCUAUUUGUGUGUUUACACCACAAUGUACAGUUUUUAGUCGUACCGUCUCCGUCAUAUUUGACAUUUUAUGACAUCAUGUUUGUUUCACCAGAUUUUGGGUGACUGCUUUUAUGGAGAGCAAAGCUGUUGACAAGUCAAACACAUACAGAUGUUUCAUCUCACAUGUUUACCCAGCUGGAGAAUAUGGACAACUGUGACUGUAAAUAUGUUUAAAGCUUUCACGUAAACGUUUGUCGGUUUAAAAAAAAAAGAAGACACCGGAAAGAUAUUUCUGUGUACAUUAGUGGCUCUUUAUACUAAAACAAGACUUCAGACUUUUAGAAAAUGUUGCUAAAAAGGUUUUAAUAAGUAAUCCUGUAACUGCAAGUACAGAAUCAUUUUGGAAACUUAAUUUAGCUUCAUUGUAGUUUCUGCUUUUGGUGCUUUUGUGUCCUCAGUGCUAAAUGUAAUCUGUUUCACUGUGAGUGUAGUAAAGGUAUUUUUCACAA